UCCUCCUCAUCCUCCUCCUGGAUUCCUCCUCUGCCUCCCAGCCAGGUACCUCCAGCCCGGCCUCUUCCUCCUCCUCCUCCUCCUCCUCCUCCUCCUGGGGCAGAUCGGGAUCAGGAUCGGGAUCGGGCCCACAGAGGGCUGGGGUUCCCUUUUCUUUCCCCUUUCUUUUCUUUUUCCCCCUUUUUGCCCCUUUCCCCCUGUUUUCCCCCCUUUCUUUCCCCCUUUCUUUCUCUUUUCUUUUUCUUUUCCCUUUUUUCCUCCUUUUUCUCCCUUUUUCUCUGCUUUUCUGCCUUUUUCACCCCUUUUCCCCCUCUUUUUUCCCCCUUAUUCCCAUAUUCUCAUUCCCAUAUUCCCAUAUUCCCAUAUUCCCAUAUUCCCAUUCUCAUAUCCCUAUUCCCAUAUUCCCAAAUUCCCAUAUUCCCAAUUUCCCAUAUUCCCAUAUUCCCAUUUUUCAUUCCCAUAUUCCAAAUCCCAUAUUCCCAAAUUCCCAUAUUCCCAUUCCCAUAUUUGCAUUCCGGAAUUCCCAAUUCCCGCGUUCCCGCAGGCGGAGACGGCGGCCAAUCGCAUCUGCAAAGUUCUGGCCGUGAACCAGGAGAACGAGCAGCUCAUGGAGGACUACGAGCGCCUGGCCUCGGAUGUAAGGGGGGGAAA
rnacentral:lncRNA from 1 species